rnacentral:rRNA from 1 species
GAUGAACGCUAGCUACAGGCUUAACACAUGCAAGUCGAGGGGCAGCGGGAUUGAAGCUUGCUUCAAUUGCCGGCGACCGGCGCACGGGUGAGUAACGCGUAUCCAACCUUCCGUACACUCAGGGAUAGCCUUUCGAAAGAAAGAUUAAUACCUGAUGGUAUGAUGAGAUUGCAUGAUAUCAUCAUUAAAGAUUUAUCGGUGUACGAUGGGGAUGCGUUCCAUUAGGUAGUAGGCGGGGUAACGGCCCACCUAGCCAACGAUGGAUAGGGGUUCUGAGAGGAAGGUCCCCCACAUUGGAACUGAGACACGGUCCAAACUCCUACGGGAGGCAGCAGUGAGGAAUAUUGGUCAACGGACGAGAGUCUGAACCAGCCAAGUAGCGUGAAGGAUGAAGGUCCUACGGAUUGUAAACUUCUUUUAUAAGGGAAUAAACCCUCCCACGUGUGGGAGCUUGUAUGUACCUUAGGAAUAAGCAUCGGCUAACUCCGU